UACGGGGGGGGGCAAGCGUUGUUCGGAAUUACUGGGCGUAAAGGGUGCGUAGGCGGUUCGCUAAGUUGGAUGUGAAAACUCUGGGCUUAACCCAGAGCCUGCAUCCAAUACUGACGAGCUAGAGUUCUGGAGGGGGUAGCGGAAUUCCUGGUGUAGCGGUGAAAUGCGUAGAUAUCUGGAGGAAUACCGGUGGCGAAGGCGGCAUCCUGGACCGGCAUUGACGCUGAGUGAGCGAAAGCCAGGGGAGCAAAGCGGG
rnacentral:rRNA from 1 species